GUCCUUUUUAGGUUCAUAGGCAUGAUGAUUGAGUGUUCACACUAUAGUGUGUGAUGUGCCUCCUUCAAACCAGCUAUGAUGUCGGCACAUGACCUGUCUGAUG
ensembl:snoRNA